AUGUUGGAGAUGGUUUUUAUUGGUUGGACAAGUUUCGAUGUUGGUUGACUGAGCAAGCUGACUAGAUGAGCUCAACACGAAAUGGAAAGUUGAGAAUAAUUGAGUGCAGUUAAAAGGAAGGCUGCAAGUCCGUCUGCUUCCGGUUGCUGUCACACUAACACCGGUGACUCGCUGAAUCGCAGACGAUGGCCAACAAAAUAGAGGGGUUGAGCUUUGAGCAACGGCAAGGGAAACAAAGGGUUAGGGUGGCCAGGGUUUGGCGGAACAACGACGGAUGCCAUUCCAUCGUCGAAUGGAACGUCGGCAUCAGCCUCCUCUCCGAUUGCGUCAAUGCCUAUACCCGCGGCGACAACUCUGAUCUCGUCACUACCGAUACCAUGAAGAACACUGUAUAUGUAAAGGCAAAGGAAUGUAAAGAAGAACUUUCAGUGGAGGAAUUUGCAGUUCGACUUGCAAAGCACUUCACAUCGCUUUACCAGCAGGUCACUACUGCCAUAGUAAAGAUUGUGGAGAAGCCAUGGGAGCGUGCAUAUGUAGAUGGUCAACCCCACGAACAUGGUUUCAAAUUGGGAUCUGAGAAGCAUACAACAGAGGUAAUUUUUGAGAAAUCUGGUGCACUUAGGCUGACUUCUGGUAUUGAAGGACUAUCUCUGCUAAAGACAACAAAGUCAGGUUUUGAGGGGUUUAUUAGGGACAAAUACACAGCUCUUCCUGACACACGAGAGAGGAUACUGGCUACAGAAAUCACUGCAUCAUGGAAGUACCAAUAUGAAUCUAUUUUUAGCAUCCCUCAAAAGCCGCUGUACUUCACUGAAAGAUACCUGAAUGUGAAAAAAGCUCUCGCUGACACUUUCUAUGGUCCUCCAAAGGAAGGAGUGUAUAGCCCGUCCGUCCAAAGCACUCUGUUUCACAUGGCAAAGACUGUUCUCAAGGGGUUUCCUGACAUAGCAGCAGUACAACUGAAAAUGCCAAAUAUCCAUUUCUUACCUGUUAAUCUAUCUAACACGGAUAAUACUAUUGUGAAGGUCAUGACAGUGACGCAUCUUUGAAAUAAGGGAUUAAGUUUACUGAGAUGUGUGAAACCAAAUCCUUGGUAUAACGAAAACAUAGAGAUGCCAAUGGAAGAUUUUCAAUUGCAUGUGAAUUUUUAUGUUUGAGGACGAUGUUUAUCUCCCAACAGAUGAACCACACGGAUCAAUCGAAGCUACUCUAAGCCGUUUCUGGUCAAAGAUGUAGUGCUGCUCGCCAUUUUUAUGCAUUUGUAAUUGAUAAAAAAAAAUAGGCCGCAUGCAGCUGCUUCAUGUUAAUUUAUACUUUACUAUGUAUUAUCAUGAUUUCCAAACUUUCAUACGUUAAGUAUUUUUUAUCCCAGUGCCAUUACCGAAAAUGAGGAUUUUGAGAGACUUU